rnacentral:rRNA from 1 species
UACGUAGGAUGCAAGCGUUGUCCGGAAUUAUUGGGCGUAAAGGGCGUGUAGGCGGUAAACCAAGUCAGAUGUGAAAUAUCCCGGCUUAACUGGGAGGGGCCAUUUGAAACUGGUUAACUAGAGUGCAGGAGAGGUCAGUAGAAUUCCCGGUGUAGUGGUGAAAUGCGUAGAUAUCGGGAGGAAUACCAGUGGCGAAGGCGGCUGACUGGCCUGUAACUGACGCUGAAACGCGAAGGCUAGGGGAGCAAACAGG